CCUACGGGAGGCAGCAGUAGGGAAUUUUGCGCAAUGGGCGAAAGCCUGACGCAGCAACGCCGCGUGAUUGAUUAAGCCCUUCGGGGUGUAAAGAUCUGUCAGUGGGGACGAAACUGGACGGUACCCACAGAGAAAGCACCGGCUAACACCGUGCCAGCAGCCGCGGUAAUCCGGAGGGUGCAAGCGUUGUCCGGAAUCAUUGGGCGUAAGGAGUUCGUAGGUGGCAUAUUAAGGCUGGUGUUAAAUGCAGAAGCUCAACUUCGUGUCGGCACUGGAUACUGGUAAGCGUGAAUGCGGUAGAGGUAAAGGGAAUUCCGGGUGUAGCGGUGAAAGGCGAAGAUAUAAGGAGGAA
rnacentral:rRNA from 1 species